UACGAAGGGUGCAAGCGUUAAUCGGAAUUACUGGGCGUAAAGCGCGCGUAGGUGGUUCAGUCAAGUUGGAUGUGAAAGCCCUAGGGCUCAACCUGGGAACUGCAUCCAAAACUACUGAGCUAGAGUACGGUAGAGGGUAGUGGAAUUUCCUGGUGUAAGCGGUGAAAUGCGUAGAUAAUAGGAAGGAACACCAGUGGCGAAGGCGACUACCU
rnacentral:rRNA from 1 species